CAUUAGAAGUUAUAUUUCCAUUUCUACUGUUAAAAAUUGGCAUGACUAACAUAAUAACCAAACAGCAAUACAUAGCGUGGCACACGUAUUUCAUGCUAAGUACAGAGACCGAUUUUUAAUAAUAGAAAUAGAUAGAAUUUUUAACA
rnacentral:pre_miRNA from 1 species